AUAUUACCAACAAUUGACAACAGUUAGUGAGUUUACUAUCAGAGCACUAAACAAGAAAACACUUUAAGAGCAAAGGUAUUACAUUCCUUUUUCCUAAUAAAUGAACCAAAGAAUCAGUCUACCUAAUUGAUCCUUCAGAAAUGGAUGCAACUUUGCAAAUACCAGAUGAUGUAGUGAAAGGCAAAUCUUUAUAGCAGGCAACCAACUCCUUGUUUGUAUGCAGAUCCAACUGAACAGUUUCCCAAAUCUUUUUCUUAUUGUUCAAGACAUCAUCAGGCUCGCCAUCAAAUCCAGGGAAUGUGACUCGUUCCCCAAUUGCAGCAUCUUUAGGCGGCUCAACUAAUUCAACCUGAUGUUGCAUCAAAAUCAGUAUAAAUGAUCAGUUUUUCCAUGCUAAUAAAAUCAGAUGAAACAUAUAAUAUGGGCGAGUGGAUAAGUACAAGUAGAUGUCAGUCGCAUAAAACUUGUUCCUCAAUACUAUUGAGGAAUACAACAACAACAACAACAACCCAGUAUAAUCCCACUUAGUGGGGUCUGGGGAGGGUAGUGUGUACGCAGACCAUACCCCUACCCUGGGGUAGAGAGGCUGUUUCCAAAUAGACCCCCGACAUCUUUCCCUCCAAGAACUUCCCACCUUGCUCCAGGGAAGACUCGAACACCCCUACCCUUGGGUAGAGAGGUUGUUUCCAAAUAGUCCCCCGGCAUCCUUCCCCCCCAAAAACUUCCCACCUUGCUCUCGGGGAGACUCGAACUCACAACCUCUCUGUUGAAAGUGGGGGUUGCUUACCAUCAGAGUAACCCCUCUUGUCACAAAUAUAUUUGCUAUGUAUAUACCAGUUGUUGCAAGGGAACACUUUUCGAUGUUUCUACCUAAUGAAAUAAAACAAAGAAAGAAAGUAGACGCCCUUAGCUUUUUUUUCCUUUCUCCCUUCCAGCAUUCGGUUGAAUUCCUUUCCAAGUUUUGCUUUUGCUUGCUUAACUCGAGUUUUCCAUUUGAACAGUCUUGUGUGUCAGCCAGUCAAGAUGCUCCAUUUUAAAGAAUGCAUGCCUCCAUAAAUUAAUUUCUUUUAUGGAGUAAUUCAUUGAUCUCCAUACACUUAGUAACUUGUCAUAUUUCUAUUUCAGUAUUAAGGAAGUAAAAUGUAUUUAAACAAAAGCACAAAACAUAUUAAAGGUACAUAGCAAUUGUCCCCAGAUAACAUGGACAGGGAGAUAAGCACAGAUCACUGUUUACCUUAGUGUGAUCGCUAUCAGAAGCAGCAAGAACCAUUGCCUGGGACUUUAUCCCCCUCAUGCUAACUGGUUUUAGGUUGCAUAGAACGCAGACCUUCCGAUUCUGAAAAGGAAACGUCACUGAGAAUAAAUUCACCAGCUCAUUUUAUAUUUGAUACUUGCAAAAGGUGGAGAAGCCAAACCUGCAUAUCCUCAAGUGGAAUAUAGUUUACAAGGCCGCUAACAACAGUUCUGGGCAUAGCUUCACCAACAUCUCCUCAAGUGGAAUAUAGUUUACAAGGCCACUAACAACAGUUCUGGGCAUAGCUUCACCAACAUCAAUCUCUUCCACAUACAAUGAAUCAGCAUUAGGAUGUUUUUGUGCCUUCGUUAAGAGACCAACGCGAAUGUCAAGUCUACUAAUGGAAAUUUCUCCUUCGACAGUGGCUGGGGCCUUAGAUUUGGUUUCAGAAGAUUUUUUUGCACGUUCCUUCUUAUUACCAUCUGAUACACAAAAUAGAAAAAUCAAAGUAAGCCAUAAUCCAUAUGAUUCUCAUGCAAGAAUAGAACUAAACAGCAGCCAUCAACCAUGGCGGACUUGAGGUAGAACUUGGAUGGGAAUCUGACAGGAUCCCAAGGCAGAUGCAUAAGCAUAGAUGAUUUAUUUGUCUCUUUCGAGAGCAAAAGGUAUCUGUAUGUAUUCUUGAAAGCUUAAGUCUUUGGAAUCAACCAGAAAUCUUCAGAGACACUGAGGAGUUAGAGGUCUGGUAUUAAGAAAACAAGAGGAACAAAAGAGAGGUGGUCAAUAGGCACAAUCGAGUGCCUCAAGGAGGAUCAAAGCAAGUGCUAACAAAUUUACGCCUAAAGAAACUACAAGGCUCCUUAAACUCUUCAUACCCCUGUCAUAGAAAUAAAUAAACUCAUCACAGCAAGUAAAAAAAAUAUGGAAAAAGAACAAAUUCCAACCUGAUAUUUUUGUUUUGUUCAGUUGUUCAGCCAUCUUUUUGGCAUCAGUUUCUGCCUUCAGAGCCCUAUCUGCCCUAUCUGCCUGACUUCCUGCAAACUUCUCUCUGUAGAAUUCAACUUCUUCAUCUUUCUGUAUAUUAUCACCAACAACAAUUAUAAACCAGCCAAAAAAUGAAAGAAUGAAUAAAUAUGCAGUAAAAAAAGACCGAAAUGCAUUACCAGCUCCUUGAACAAUGGUGCUGGCGUUCCAAUUUUGUGACCUGCAGGUAUAAUGUUCCAUGGUCUUUUGCUAUUGGCAACGUCACCUUUUUCAUCAGCCAGUGAAAGUUGUGUUUCAGGAGGCAAGUUGAGCUGCUUAAGCACCUGUGAAUCAAGAGGGAAAAGCAUCAAACACCUAAGGCACAGACAGAUAGCAUCAACACAAAGUUCAAGUUUGCAAUGAUGGCAACAGAAACACUACCUCACGUGAAAAAGAUGGCAUAAAUGGCUCUAAAAGACAUGCCAGAAGAUAGACUAGACCACAAGCAGUUCUCAUCACUAUGGAACACGAACGCCUAUCUUCCUUGUAAAGUUUCCAAAACUGGCUUUCCUACAGAAAGAAAUACAAUGUGAUGAGCCUCAACAAUUUGAGAUCAGAAACCAUAAGAAUACAAUGCCUCACAUGAAAAGUUCAAAUUUCAGACUUUUUUUUUUGCUCGAUAAUUCAGGUAGUUAAUCUAAAAUGAGAAAGUCACAUCACAUAGCAGUAAUCGAUAAAAAAAAAAACCAGAUAGCUGGAAAGUAUUUGACAGGAUUACCUGCAGAUAACCAUUUCCUUCACCAGAAAUAGACAUAGCAACCUUCAAGCCUUGCUUUAAUUUAACCUAGACGAAUUGCAACAGAUACAGGUUAUCAAACAUAGGAAAUAAGAGCACCAAUCAAGAUAGAAUCAAAUGCAAGAAAACGCGUCACCCGCGGCAGACGAGUCACUUUAUUAUUGUGGCUUCAUUUUCUUUCUUUCUUUCUUUUUUUUAUUUUUCUUUACUUAUAAAAUAAGAUCACAUGACUUCUAGUUCACUAAAACUGAGAGAACCCGUGGCAGAGGAGUCACCUUCUCCAUGGCUUCUAUAUACUGCUCCACAUAAUUUCCAACUUUUUCACCCAAUGCCUUUGUCAAGGGAUGUGAUUCCGCUCCUUCAACAUCGGGAAUAAUGGAACCAUAACCUGAAGCUGUAUGAGGGCAUUGUCAAUAAAGAUGUGAUAGAUAUGAGGGAAAAGGGAUAAGACUUUUCCCCUGGUAAAUAUGAACAUUGUCAAUAAAGAUCUGAUAGAUAUGGGGGAAAAGGGGAUAAGACUUUUCCCAUGGUAAAUAUGAAGGAAGCAAAAUGUACUACUUUCACCCAAUUAAGUUACCCAACAUCUUUUCCUCUAGCAAGAAUUUUCUUCCUUCAUCUUUUUUUCUGCUUUCUAAUCUUAUUCCCUUUUCCAUUAAUGUUUUCUGCUUCUAGUAGUAUCACAAUUCAGUGAGGCCUAUUAAGAGACCUUUUUUUUCAUUUGUAAGAAACAUAAACAGAGAUUUGCAGCAAUCAAAACGGGAUACUAACAGCAGAAAAAACAUGAACAAUGUAGUAAACCACGCCAUUUUUUAAUACAUAAACUGGAGGGAUUGUAGCAAAAACAUAAACAAAAUAAGCUGCCAAAACUUUUGUGAAACACAUAAUACCAUCAGAGAAGCACCUUUGACAACAAGAAAAUCCAUCAACAGGGAACAACUAUGUAAAUAUCUAAAAGAACAGCUCCUGAAAUACCUGAAUCUUUUGCGAUGAAGCUCAAGACUCUAUUGACAAAAUUGCCCAAGUUGCUUAGCAACUCACUGUUUAACUUUGCUUGUAGGUCUGCCCAUGUAAAUAAAGUGUCUGAGACCUAGAAUAACCAAAAAUAUUUAGUGAUAGAAAUGGCAUUACAAAACUGGGAAAUAUUGAACAUCAAAAAACAUUGUCAAAGCACCAUGGGCCCACCUCUGGCCUGUUUGUCAGCAAGUAAUAUCUCCAUACUUCUACAGGAAUAUUUGUAUCUUUUGCAUCAUUACCAAAUACUCCUAUACCCUUGCUUUUAGAGAAUUUGCCUGAUUAGGACAACCAAAAAAGAGAAGGGAAAAAUUUUCAAGUCAGAAAACAUGGAAUAAUGUAAUAUUAACUAAUAUCUCCAAACUAAAGUUCAAGCACCAAUUAUAUAUUGCAACGCUCAACUAAUGUCUAAUUAACCUGCUUCAUAGUUCAAAUAUUCUGUUACGCUGAUAGUUUUCAUAAGCGUCCAGUUUUCACCAGUUCCAAGAAGUGUAGAUG
rnacentral:lncRNA from 1 species